rnacentral:tRNA from 1 species
GCAGAUUUAGCUCAGUGGCAGAGCGUCCGCUUGGCGUGCAGGAGGUCCUGGGUUCAAUCCCCAGUGCU